rnacentral:rRNA from 1 species
AGAGUUUGAUCCUGGCUCAGGAUGAACGCUAGCUACAGGCUUAACACAUGCAAGUCGAGGGGAAACGGCAUUUAGUGCUUGCACUGAAUGGACGUCGACCGGCGCACGGGUGAGUAACGCGUAUCCAACCUACCCAUUACUGUGGGAUAACCUGCCGAAAGGCAGACUAAUACCGCAUAGUCUUCGAUGACGGCAUCAGAUUUGAAGUAAAGAUUUAUCGGUAAUGGAUGGGGAUGCGUCUGAUUAGCUUGUUGGCGGGGUAACGGCCCACCAAGGCGACGAUCAGUAGGGGUUCUGAGAGGAAGGUCCCCCACAUUGGAACUGAGACACGGUCCAAACUCCUACGGGAGGCAGCAGUGAGGAAUAUUGGUCAAUGGACGAGAGUCUGAACCAGCCAAGUAGCGUGCAGGAUGACGGCCCUAUGGGUUGUAAACUGCUUUUGUAUGGGGAUAAAGUCAAUCACGUGUGAUUGUUUGCAGGUACCAUACGAAUAAGGACCGGCUAAUUCCGUGCCAGCAGCCGCGGUAAU